rnacentral:rRNA from 1 species
AUGGAUCAAGGCCAAACCUUCGACUUCUUGCAUUGGAUCACCGUCCGCCAGACCCAAUUGACCGAAUAUUGUACUCUUUACUUUGGAGACGCUGCUAUCAUAUGUAGCGACGUUGGUCGCAACUAUCUGAAGAGUGCUUACCGGUUUGUCAUUGAUACUUUCAAAGGAGGACAUUGCUGGCGUGGAAUGUUCUCGGUGAGGAAUUUCAUGGUUGUUAAUGGGUUAUUCAUGAUGGACAUACCUGCACCAUUCACGACUAUUGGUGAUUUUCAAGACCUCAUGACUGAUGUUGGAGCCCUGAGCAAUGCUUUGCUGAAGUACUACCGUCAAGGGAACAUACCUGCACUUUAUACUGACCAUCUUCAUUAUAUUACCACUAUGAUCCCAUCAGGAAUUGGAUCUUCACUUGUCUUCCAAUCUAGAUUCAUUUGUCUGAUUUACUAUCAUUUCUCAUUCUCAUUGAUGGAUCCCUGGACUUUGCUGCUUGCAUCACUUGCAACAGCACAGAGCCAUCUUGGGGAUGAUGAUGUACUUCAAUUUAAUAAUCUCCUUAAACAAGCUUGGAAUGAUUUACGUAUGGGUCAAUUUAGACCUGUUGGUAAAAAUUGGACUGUUCAAGCUGAAAAGAAUCCAAUCUUUUAUGAGGUUAUGAUGUGGAACAGCAGGCAGGCAGGGGUACCUCCAAGGAAUGGAUAUAGAGGUAAUCCUCAGUCAUUAUACAAUUUUGGAAGAAACAACAAGGUUCACGCGCCUGAAAAAACAAAGGGGCCUAGGGGAGCUCAGCUAGGGCAGAUGGAACCAGUAGCACCCAAUGGUGCAGGGCAUUGGCGAUGGACGAUCAUUUCUGUUGCAGGGCAAAGGGGAUGGGGCUGGGUGUGGCAGCCUGCUCAGGGUCAGUGGUUCUGGCCGACUGUACCAGGUGAUAUGCAGUGGUGA